rnacentral:sRNA from 5 species
AUUGAGUGGGAAUAAAGAUAUAACAUUGUUUAAAGUGAAAUUACUGUUCUAACAACGUUUUAGCUAUUAUGUAAUGGCUGAAAACAAUUAAAUAUUAACUUGUUUACCACCAAAAACCCCACCAAUACAACAAGUAUUGGUGGGGUUUUUAG